UGGCGGUGAGCAAGAUAUCUCUGAUCCAAGUCACUUAAAAUUAAAAAAACCAAAAGAUUAAUUUUCAGGAUAGACGAAUACAGGUAAUGAACGAAGGAAUAGUCAAAAUUUUGAUUUUUGACAAAAUGGCGGCUUCUCAAAGAAAAAAAUCGUCGUUUUUCACGAAACAACGGUAACGUAUAUUUUUUUACAACUGAGUCGUUAUAAUUGAAAGUGGUAGGUAUAAGUCACAUUUCCAAAAAAAAAAUGUUAAUGUUUUUAAUCAAAAAUAACGUACAUAAUUUUAAAAAAGAGGAAAAGGAGGAACCAAAAUAUCAAAAAGAGGGAUUUUUUGACAAUUUUUAAAAAGUGGAGGGAAAGUGGAUUGGGUGAACAAAAAAGAGGAAAAACGCGUCUUUAGAGGCGCAAAGGUAGCCCUGAUAUCCACAACUUUUCGAAUCUUUUAUCGGGAUUAGCGGGACAUUAAAUUAACUAGCAGGAGAAAAUAUACUGGCGGGACACUUGCGGAACAAAUACCGUUUUCCGGACAGUCUUGCGCAUGGCGGGACGUCAGGCAUCCCUAUUAUCCACUUUGUUGAAUACAUGUGUUCAAAAAAAUCCAUUCAAACGGUAGUUUUUCUAAAAACUUCCAUAAACAUACUAUCGGCAGUUCGGCAUUGAAUUAUUUGUAGGUUUACUGUGGUAAUACUUCGAUUAGCAACUAUGGUUGGUACCUAUAAAUUCCACAAUAUUUAAAAAUAUCAUAUCGAAUAUCUACAAAACUGUCUACCACAGGAUGGUUCAAACAAUCAAUCAUUGACUUCGCAGGCUAUGUGGCAAUAAAAUGUUCCUUUGCAGCAAAGCGCAAUACAUUUAGUAUAUAUUUAAAGCACUCAGUAGGAAUUGAGAUGUCAAAAAAUUAAUUAAUCAAAACAAGAACCCCAUAAUUUUGACUGUCUAUACAAAAGUAAUAAUUAUUGUAGUACAUGACAAUAACGUUUUGUGUGUCUAUCAAAUGAUCAGACAUUCCGACAGAAUGCAUUAACUUAAUGUGGAAUCUCUUGAAAUAACACCUCUCAUGACCCUAAAGGAUAAUAAAAGUAUAUUAUUUACACCUGCAUGACGGAUUGUGAGUUCAUUAUUUAUCUCGGUUCGCAGGGGCAAAUAAAGAAUGCUCAAUUAUAAUAUACUUCAAGGAGAGUGUAGGCUGCAUGCAUAAGCAUUAUGCAUAUCGGCAGUCGACACUAAACAUUGAACAUUUCCAGCAGGUAUCUACAAUCUACAUAUUACCUGUACAUAGUCGAGUCUGCUGCUCUCGACUUCAUUUCUCAUUUUCAGAAAAGUUUGAUCUUACACACAUUCUGGCGCACAUGUGCUGAUGGGAUAAAGGAUCACCCACCAAAAGCAUCCGUAGUGAAUAUAAUACAUGACAGAGAAUUUUGAAGCUUGAAUCUUGAGAAACGAACGUUGCUAUUCCAGAAUUCCAAAAAAGAAUUGCCGUUAUCUUCUUAUUU